CCCGGGCACCGCUGGGCCAUCUCCCUGUGCCUCCAGUGACCCUCGGGGAUGCAGAGUGACUCCCAAGACACCCCUCCUCUAGACAGAGAUGCUGGCUAGGCCUGAAAAUUCUUUGCUACGAGAGUCAGCAAGCCGACUCUGUGGGCAGGGACAGCAGGCUGGCCCAGGUACGGCCCUGGCCUAGCACUGGCUCAAGUGUGGGAUAGCAGGCCUUGCUGCACACGUGUUUGUCUGAACCCUGCUGGAAUCCUGACUCCCAGGAGCCAUCACCACGGUACUCCGCAUGACUGAAACACACAGUGACUGAGUGGAAAACAUUUCUUACAGUAAAAGACACACUGACACUACGUUCCCACAGAAUACUCCGCCUCACCCUGAAUACAUGUGUCCCGCCAUGCUUGCCACUUUUGUGAAUGAAGCAGCUCUGGAAGUCCUCUUUCAUGAGUGUCUUUGUGAGAUGUGAUCAAAAAUAGGGCGAGCACCACCGCCAAGUGUCAUCCAGUGGAAAGGUAGGCUUGUAAAAAACAUGACUUCCACUUUAUUCACUUGAUCUGGCCCUGUGCAACUUCUGGCUCUUCCCCAAAGUCAAAAUGACCGUGGAAGGUAAAGGUUUUGAAUUGAUGCGGGGCCCUGAGGCAGCCAGAGCAAUGCACCUAACGACCCUCACGAAAGAGGACUGCCGGAGCUGCUUCAGAAAGCGGCAAGAACAGGAGAAGUGUGUUCAAAGUAAGUAUAUUGAGGGAGACUAAUAACCACGGGUCUUUGACUGUAAGAAGAAAAUAUUAAUUUAAAUAUUCACUGUAUUUUUCAGUCACACCCCACAAGCCACCCAAGGGGGAGAAAAACCUUUUAAUUUGAUUCCCUCCUUAAUGGAGGGAAGACCCAGAGGAGAGGGCCCGCCCACAGUUCUAUGGACCACUGUAUCAAAGAGUGACAAACGAUGGUUAGGGGCAGAGGGACAGAAAAAAUGCAGGACAAAACCCAAUGACUGACAUUGUACAUCAUCACACGCUUUCCUGCGGCAGAGCUGUAAUGUUUAUUGUGGCUGACGGUGUCAGAUCAUCACAUGCCUGUCCGUGUACCAUGGGCUUGAGAAAAUGCUCCCUCCUGAGUCCUUACGGUCACAUUCGCUUAUGCUCACCUUGUCCCCUUCCCGGAAGCAAAGGCUGAGUCCCCGAUUGGCCCCGCCCACCCUUCAGUGAGAGAGUUAUUCUUAGAAACCAGCCUAGCCCUGGGAGGAUGAAGCACAUUUCAUACCACUCUGCUGCUGAGGUAGCUUCCCUUCUGCUUUCUCUGCAUUCGCCACCCUUAAAUCAACUUUCACAUUCCCCUCUGCCAGCCUCGACUCCCCCACUUCUCGCUAAGAGCCCCACUUCUCCAUUCUUCACUGAAGGGAGGGCAAGGGCCCAAACAGAGGUGGGGGCCACCCAGAGACCCCCACCGGACAUCACCAGGACAGGACAGGACAGAGGAACGUGGCCCUGAGCUUUCGGGGAGCAGUGUGCUGUGGGAACACGGAUUCACAAGGACGGAACGGAAGAUGAGGGGAGAUGUGUUUGCAACCAACCUCAUGCCUUUCUGUGUUCAUGGCAAUAAAUCUCACAGCCCUAUCGGGUUAAGUAAACCUUAGUUAUUGCGGGCUGAUCAGGCCCGUGAUCUCCCAAGCGAAUGGACGGCGAAGACUUAAAUAAAUGAGAUAAUGGAAAUGAUUUCAGGGCUCCA